rnacentral:tmRNA from 1 species
GGGGCUGAAAAGGUUUAGACAUAUUAAAUAUUUUAUAAAAAAUCAUGUCAAGUUUUAAAAAUCUUGUAAAAAUUUUAAAAAACAUAAAUGCAAAAGAUACUUUUUAUUUAAAUAAUUUAGCAGCUUAGUAGUAAAAUAUAUUUCUUUUUAAUAUAUUUUAAUUUUUAAAUAUAAUAUAUUGAUUAAUAAAAUAUAAAAAUAUUUAAUUAAAAUUUAGUAAAAAUUUAUUGGAUAUUAUUAUUUUUUCUUUUAUUAAUAAUAUUUUUAGUAAAAAAAAAGAAAAGCAUGUAAUGUUUUUUUAAAGUAAUUUUAUAUGGAAAUGGGUUCGAUUCCCAUCAGCUCCAA